rnacentral:rRNA from 1 species
CCUACGGGAGGCAGCAGUGAGGAAUAUUGGUCAAUGGGCGGGAGCCUGAACCAGCCCAGCCGCGUGAGGGAAGCAGGUACAGCGUAUCGUAAACCUCUUUUGUCAGGGAACAAAGGCGGGGACUAGUCCCCGGAUGAGGGUACCUGAAGAAAACGCAUCGGCUAACUCCGUGCCAGCAGCGGCGGUCAUCCGGGGGAUGCGAGCGUUAUCCGGUUUUCUUGGGUUCAAGGGGUGCGCAGGCGGCCUGUUAAGUCAGCGGUAAAAGCCCGGGGCUCAACCCCGGCGAGCCGUUGAAACUGGCGGGCUGGAGUUGGAGAGAAGGACGCGGAAGGCGCGGUGUAGCGGGGAAAUGCGUAGAGAUCGCGCAGAACCCCGAGGGCGAAGGCAGCGUACCGGCUCCACACUGACGCUGAGGCACGAAAGCGUGGGUAUCGAACAGGAUUAGAUACCCCUGUAGUC